AACUCCCACAGAUUAACAAUGAAACUCCACCGUUAUAAUUAUCAAGUAAUUAAAACUCUUUCAAUAUCCAUGAGAACACUCGAACAGAGAACUGAAGAGUCAGAGCUCAUCGAAACCCUAAGCUUGCGAUAGACAUCUCCACCGCCAUCUCCGUCGCUGCCUCCGCCGCCAUGGCCGCCGCUAGAGUUCAUCUCCUUUCUGCUUCUGCCAUAAAGCCAUUGAGAUCGAGCCAAGGCAUCUCUUUCACCAACGCGUUUCCAAAUCUAAUCGCAACGCCCAAGCCUUUGAGAUCGAGAAAAAGUACCUCUUCGGUUAACUCUCCUCCGCCAAUGACGCUCAUGUUCUCCAUCGGCAUUCUAUCCCUUGUGUCUAACUCAUAUGGUUUACCGUGGAGCUGUACACACUCGUUUUGAGCAUUCACUUGGUGUUUAUUGGCUUGCCUGCUGGCAAAGCUAUUGACAUAAUAAAAAAAUACAAAGGCCCAGAGCUUGGUAUUGAACAUUGCGAUGUAAUGGCAGGAAAGCUUGCUGGAUUACUGCAUGAUGUUGGCCAUGGUCCCUUCAGCCACAUGUUUGAGGGCAAGUUCCUUUCCCGGGUCUUUAAUGGUGACAAAUGGUCCCAUGAGAAAAUGUCAGCGAAGAUGAUAAAUUACAUGGUUGAUGAACAUAAUAUUGAUAUUGAUCCUGAACUCCUCAAGAAAGUGAAGGGUCUAUGCAUCAGUUUGAAAGUGAAGUAUGCUCUCUUAUUUCUAUUUACUGUUCUGUUUUCAUCAUUUAGCCUUUGAGAUGAAGGAUGGAAGAGAGGUACUCUUCUUCUCUAUUAUUUCUUGCUCUCUUUUCAAAUUUUAAUUCUGUUUAUAUAUAAUGUGUGCAGCUAGACUCACAAUUUAAGGUCCUAGGAAGCAUAUCAACAAAAUGAAAAUUAAAAUUUCUCUCCGAUUCCGAUUCUGCGAAACCUUUUCCAUUCCUACAAAUGAGUGCAGGUGGCGCAUUUGGUGGCAAUAGAGGGCUCCGUCCAGUGCCUCCUGAAAAUUUUCAGGCUUUGAUCUUUUCCAUAUUUUCAUGUAGGAUUAUUCUAUGCAACUUCAUGCACAAGAACUUGUGGCUAGGGAUUCGCAUGAUAAUGUUUGGACUUUCCGUCAUAUAUAUCGAGAUAUGCAUAAUGUGUAGUCCUGUAUAUAAUCUGAAACAGCAAAAUUAUUGGAAACUUGCUGAAGAUCUUUUUAUUUAUUUAUUAUGGCCCUCACCUUAAGCAGGGCAACCAAAGCGCCACUUGGUUACAACUGAAUGGAGUAUAUUUGUCAGUGGAAAGAGGCUCUUUGCUAGAGACUCUGUUUUAUUUAUACGGCUAGCUAACAGGCAACUAGCCAACAUAUCAUCCUCGGUAUUGUCAAGUGAUAGUAUGCAUAUUGGGAUUCUUGCGGCAGCUGCUCAUGCUUUUGCAAAUAAUAGUCCCUUUACCGUCUUUUACAAUCCUAGGGAUAGUCCUUCAGAGUUUGUUAUUCCUUUAGCCAAGUACUACAAGGUAGUGUUUCUAUUCUCCUUUUUAGAGUUUGUGAGAUAGAAAAAUUCACAAUAGUGUAAUUUACAGGUAUAAUUUUUAUUCUCCUUUUCUAAUUUAAUAUUGUAAAUUUUUUCAAUCUAUCUUUGUUGCUGCUUCUGCUAUAUACUACUACUACCAUGAAAAUGAUGCAACUACUAGCUAGUGCUUAAUGAUUUCACUUUUUUCAUUCAAUGGAGGGGCCUUGCCUUACCUUAAUUAUUCUAGUGCCCCUUUAUUUGAUAUAAAUAUAUGGGCUCUAGCAUAGUUGGCAAAAUUCAUCAGUUCCAAAAGCCUUUAUAUAUAUAUAUAUAUUGACACGACUUUCUUAUUAGUUUAUAGUCCAUUCAUUCAAAAAAAUUAUUAAAAUAUGAAGAGUUUUGUAAGCUAUAUGGCUAUUGUGGAGAAAAAUAAGCCUUAUGUUUCAAUGCUCUUUAUUCAGUUUGUAUAUGCAAGCAUGGCUUUAUUGUCUAAGGCUGCAAUUUCCAAAGGAAUGACCCCUUUUGUUUUUGUUGUUUAUAGACAAGCCUUUGCAUCAGUUUUCUUAUCUUCAUUUUCUUUUUUUGACAGGUUUAAUUCUCUCAUCAUGAAUUAAAUUAUUAUUAUUAACCUUUAUUAAUGAUUACUAGGCUUCUAAUUCUCCUUUGGUUGUGUGUUAAUUUUGUAGUAAACAGAGUGCUCCCUUGUCAGGCAAGUUACUGUGCAAUUUGUUUCUUAUUUCACUUGUUGGGUUGACAACAAGUUCAACACUUUCCAAAAUUUGGAUCUGAUAACUGUGUAUCACUAUUGCAUCUUUGUUACUUCUGAUUUGAGUUGCUUUAGAAUGAUGUAUACUCAUAAUAUGUUGUACAUAAUAAUGCCUGACAGUUGUGAUCAUUGUGUAAUAUAUCAUAUCUGAAUUUUGUACUUUUUCCACUAA